rnacentral:rRNA from 1 species
AACGAACGCUGGCGGCAUGCCUAACACAUGCAAGUCGAACGAUGCUUUCGGGCAUAGUGGCGCACGGGUGCGUAACGCGUGGGAAUCUGCCCCUUGGUUCGGAAUAACAGUUAGAAAUGACUGCUAAUACCGGAUGACGACGUAAGUCCAAAGAUUUAUCGCCGAGGGAUGAGCCCGCGUAGGAUUAGCUAGUUGGUGUGGUAGAGGCGUACCAAGGCGACGAUCCUUAGCUGGUCUGAGAGGAUGAUCAGCCACACUGGGACUGAGACACGGCCCAGACUCCUACGGGAGGCAGCAGUGGGGAAUAUUGGACAAUGGGCGAAAGCCUGAUCCAGCAAUGCCGCGUGAGUGAUGAAGGCCUUAGGGUUGCAAAGCUCUUUUACCCGGGAUGAUAAUGACAGUACCGGGAGAAUAAGCUCCGGCUAACUCCGUGCCAGCAGCCGCCGUAA